rnacentral:lncRNA from 1 species
CUACAUUUCCGUUCUUUACUCUCCUAUUCGAGCUUCAUACUUUGUAAUUCUGGGUCUUGCUUUCCCAGCCAGGUGAUGUUCCCCUAGUGAGUUCUUCCAAGGCCACCACAGUUGGCCAACAGUUGGGGUAAAACAAAAUGCUCGAUGGAAUCAAGCGGAAAGGCAGACCUUUAUUGCAGCCUGCGAGACUGCCAUUGCCGAACACAAAACAUGGCUGGGAAAUGUGGUGGCGCUAUUCAACUCGGUGUUCGGACAUAGUUGGACUAAACAAAAACUCCGCAACCAUUGGGAUGCAUUGCGUCGAGAGCAUAGAAGUCUGUCGGAGCUGCUUAAUAGCAGCGGGGUUGCAUACGAUGAUUCGAUUGGUAGAAUUGUUGCCUCCGAGGAGUGGUGGUCACAAAAAUUUAAGGUAACGACUUUGUCCUCCAAUGGUGCAUACGGUAAAUCUAUAAUUCAAUUAUCAGAAUUCCAUUGCUAAGAUUUCCAUUUUGAGGUGACAAUUAACAAUGUUUUCACAUGUCUGACCGGCCUCAUUAAUCUGAAAUGGCAUACUGCUUUUACUUCUUGGGGGUAGGAAGAUAUGGUUUACAUAGUAUCGACUAACGUUUUGAAAAAAUGAAUCCCUUGUGCACAUUUUCAUAAUUGCUCACUCACGACAUAGACAAAUGAGGAAUGCAUUUUUUUUAGCCCACAUGUUACUGAACUGUGUUUUACAUAAGCAGAAGCCACUUCGUAGUGCACUUGUUGUACUGCCUUUUGUUCCUGCCUCCGCACAUAACUCACUGAACUGUAUUUUGUUGUCGUGCAUGGGAGGGCAUUGGGGGCAAACUGUUGGUGCAAUUUAUGAAUGGGAUAUUGGAGUACAGUUUCUAUGUCCCGUUCACACCUCGUGCGAUGUUGAUUUAACUAUUUUUCCUGAUUUUGUCGUAGGAGAACAAGGAGUACAAGAACUUCAAGGAUCGAGACGUGAGCGACAUUUACAUUCAAUAUCGUUUGCUAUUCGAGGACAGUUACAACAGCGAAAAGUACGUAGUUACCCCCAACAAAGCUGUGCAGAACUGGAUUCGAAUGUUUUGAGGACAGUGCUCUUGAAGACCACAGAGAUGCAAUCCCUAUCGAGGGUGAGGGCAGCAGUUCAAAUGACGAGGGCGAUGGGAACGGUAGCAAAAGCAUGAGCAUGUCGAGGCCCAAAAGUGGCGAUAAAAUGAAGUCGUCAACGUUGAAGCAGCAUAGGAAGAAAAAAGCAUGUUUUGGCUCGUGAACUGUCCUUCUUGGUCGAUCAGGCGAACAGUGCCACUGAGGUUGUAACGGCAAAGAUUAAUAGCAUCAUUGAUCCGACGGACAAUGCUAGAGCUGCAUGAGUAGAGGAAUUGCUUUCGACCGGUCGGCUACAAAGGCGGACGCCAAUGUACUUCUACGCUUGCACUCUCCUAGCACAAAUAAGAUUUCGAGACAUGCUCAGUGUCAUGCAAGAUGCCGAUGAGAAGUUCGAAUGGAUCGAGUGGCAGUUCAGCGAACGUAAUAGAUCACUGCAUUAGCUUGUUUCGGUAUGCGUUGGCUUGACUGUAUGUUGCCCUUUGUAUGCUUCAUGAGUUCGUGUUGUAAUAUUUGAAUUUUGUUGUUUUUUUCCUUGAUUGCCAGUAUGCGUGACAUACUCUAGGUUUGCAUGCCGCCUAGUGUUGGAAACGUUUAUUUUG